rnacentral:rRNA from 1 species
UACGAAGGGGGCGAGCGUUGUUCGGAAUCACUGGGCGUAAAGGGCGCGUAGGCGGCCCUCUUAGUCGCGUGUGAAAGCCCCGGGCUCAACCUGGGAACGGCGCGCGAAACGGGAGGGCUGGAGUUCGGGAGAGGAGAGUGGAAUUCCCAGUGUAGAGGUGAAAUUCGUAGAUAUUGGGAAGAACACCGGUGGCGAAGGCGGGUCUCUGGGCAGAAACUGACGCUGAGGAGCGAAAGCGUGGGGAGCGAACAGG